UAAUAUUUUAAUGGUUUCUGCAUGAUGCUGGCUUUUGUGCAGUCAGGAGCUUUUAACAUACGUUUGUGCUGACAGCCUGGGAGCACUGCAGCUCCAGGUUGAAGGAGCACGCUUUCAAUGCAUUGCAGUUGGUUUCAGCAAAUGUGUGAGCCUGGAGCCAGGAUAUUGCAGUGUGUUUGGAAAGAAAGCGUUUCUGCAUAUUUAAAGUUACUGAAUCUCAGUGUAUGAAGCAUUGUAGGGGAAGAAUCUGUCAGUAGGCCAUGGUGACUGUCUUUCUCUUCAGCUCUCUGUUGCUGUUUGUUUAUCCUGGUGCUGCCUUUUAGAAAGGCCUCUUUCAGUGCUGAAUAAUGGAGAGCACUGUGAGAGAUUAAAGCAUUAUAAAAAUUCUAUUUGUGAAAAUUCAUCAGGAACAAGACAUAUUUUACAUACGUAACUGCACUAAUGACCUGUAUUGACAUUCUGGAGGAUUCCUGAUAGUUUCUUCAUCUCACCCCAAGGAGCCUGAGCCCAACCCCAACAAGCCCCUGCAGUCCAUGCAGUCCUCUGUUCGCUUUUCAUUUUUGGAGGUAAGCAAGUAAACUUCCAUUGUUGAUGUUUUCUUCUGCAUCCAAAACAUAAUGAUCAAAACAUAUUGCAAAAGGAAAAUUGAAAAAAAAAAUUAAGUAUGUCUCUGCAAUCCAAAAUACAUUUUACUUGACCAGCUGCUCUUCUGAAGGUAAGUAUUUUAUGGAAAAAAAACUCAGGAUAAUACGUAUUUUGACACCUAGUACACAGACUCAAGUUAUUAAUGUAUAAUUCUGUGUUGCUUUGACUGCUUAGAAGUGUAUAUGAAAUUUUAUAGUUUGCUUCUUGUGAUCAUGCCUCAGAUUGUAUUCUGUUAUGUGGGAAGUUUAAGGUGCAUUCAGAAAUGAGGGUGAUUCAUGAAACACAUGGUUAUUUUUUGCUUAGUGAGGGCUAGUGGUGUGCUUAGUGAGUUGAGUGAUUCAGAAGAACACAAAGUCAUAUUCAUUAAAUUGGUAGGACUGUUUUGUCCUCAGGACUAGGAGGAUUUUAAGCUUCACUUCUGUUUCAACAGUGUUCUAGAUAAACCCCAACAGCCACAUACAACAUCUUUUCACUCUCUUCUUUCUUCAACUGCCAUGUUUGUUCAUAAGAAUAGGUUUUUUUUUUGCACUUGUCAGAAACGUAGUUAUCUUCAUGAGAUCAGAAAAUUAUUAGUGAUAAAAAAUACUUGAUAAUCCUUCCUGUUAUGUAAAAUCAUAAUAAAUAAUAAUAAUGGAUGUUUCUGAUGCAGAAAAACUUUUUCCUUCCUUCUUUUUAGAGCAGGAAGUUGCUAGUCAAGAAUCUCAUCGGUGUCAGUCAUUGAGAUUCUGCUCUGUAGGGAGGGAGUUUUUAAAGCAAGAUACUAAUAAGUCAUCAAUGCCUCAUGGAUUUAAAGAAAAACAAAAA